rnacentral:rRNA from 1 species
AUUGAACGCUGGCGGAAUGCUUUACACAUGCAAGUCGAACGGCAGCACGGACUUCGGUCUGGUGGCGAGUGGCGAACGGGUGAGUAAUACAUCGGAACGUGCCCAGUCGUGGGGGAUAACGUAGCGAAAGCUACGCUAAUACCGCAUACGAUCUACGGAUGAAAGCGGGGGAUCGCAAGACCUCGCGCGAUUGGAGCGGCCGAUGGCAGAUUAGGUAGUUGGUGGGGUAAAGGCCCACCAAGCCGACGAUCUGUAGCUGGUCUGAGAGGACGACCAGCCACACUGGGACUGGGACACGGCCCAGACUCCUACGGGAGGCAGCAGUGGGGAAUUUUGGACAAUGGGCGAAAGCCUGAUCCAGCCAUUCCGCGUGCAGGAUGAAGGCCUUCGGGUUGUAAACUGCUUUUGUACGGAACGAAAAGGCUCUGGUUAAUACCCGGGGCUCAUGACGGUACCGUAAGAAUAAGCACCGGCUAACUACGUGCCAGCCGCCGCGGUAAUAC